GGUGUAGCGCAGGUGGUAGCGCGCCUGCUUUGGGAGCAGGAUGCCGCAGGUUCGAGUCCUGUCACCUCGACCA
rnacentral:tRNA from 1 species